rnacentral:rRNA from 1 species
GACAGAGGGUGCGAGCGUUGUUCGGAAUCACUGGGCGUAAAGGGCGUGUAGGCGGUCCGCUAAGUCUGAUGUGAAAGCCCGGGGCUCACCCCCGGAAGGGCAUUGGAAACUGACGGACUCGAGUCCCGAAGAGGAGGGUGGAAUUCCUGGUGUAGCGGUGAAAUGCGUAGAUAUCAGGAGGAACACCGGUGGCGAAGGCGGCCCUCUGGACGGUGACUGACGCUGAGACGCGAAAGCGUGGGGAGCAAACAGG